rnacentral:rRNA from 1 species
AACGAACGCUGGCGGCAGGCCUAACACAUGCAAGUCGAGCGAGGACUUCGGUCCUAGCGGCGGACGGGUGAGUAACGCGUGGGAACGUGUCCUUUGCUACGGAAUAGCCCCGGGAAACUGGGAGUAAUACCGUAUGUGCCCUUCGGGGGAAAGAUUUAUCGGCAAAGGAUCGGCCCGCGUUGGAUUAGGUAGUUGGGGGGGUAAUGGCCUACCAAGCCGACGAUCCAUAGCUGGUUUGAGAGGAUGAUCAGCCACACUGGGACUGAGACACGGCCCAGACUCCUACGGGAGGCAGCAGUGGGGAAUCUUAGACAAUGGGGGAAACCCUGAUCUAGCCAUGCCGCGUGAGCGAUGAAGGCCUUAGGGUUGUAAAGCUCUUUCAGUGGGGAAGAUAAUGACGGUACCCACAGAAGAAGCCCCGGCUAACUCCGUGCCAGCAGCCGCCGUAACAC